UACGUAGGUGGCGAGCGUUGUCCGGAUUUACUGGGCGUAAGGCGAGCGCAGGUGGUUUAUUAAGUCUGGUGUAAAAGGCAGUGGCUCAACCAUUGUAUGCAUUGGAAACUGGUAGACUUGAGUGCAGGAGAGGAGAGUGGAAUUCCAUGUGUAGCGGUGAAAUGCGUAGAUAUAUGGAGGAACACCGGUGGCGAAAGCGGCUCUCUGGCCUGUAACUGACACUGAGGCUCGAAAGCGUGGGGAGCAAACAGG
rnacentral:rRNA from 1 species